rnacentral:rRNA from 1 species
AACAAGGUUUCCGUAGGUGAACCUGCGGAAGGAUCAUUAUCGUAAAACCGAGGUGCGAGGGCUGUCGCUGACCUUUUCGGUCGUGCACGCCCGAGUGCUCUCACACAAUCCAUCUCACCCCUUUGUGCACCACCGCGUGGGUCCCUCUCCGGCUCCUCCGGAGGGGGGCUCGCGUUUUCACACAAACUUGAAGUAGUGUAGAAUGUCCUUUUUUGCGAUAACACGCAAUCAAUACAACUUUCAACAACGGAUCUCUUGGCUCUCGCAUCGAUGAAGAACGCAGCGAAAUGCGAUACGUAAUGUGAAUUGCAGAAUUCAGUGAAUCAUCGAAUCUUUGAACGCACCUUGCGCCCCUUGGCAUUCCGAGGGGCACACCCGUUUGAGUGUCGUGAAAUUCUCAAAACCCUUUCUUUUGGUCAUUUUCGACCAUCGAAAGGAUUUUGGACUUGGAGGCCUUUUUGCUGGUUUCACCUUGAAGCGAGCUCCUCCCAAACGUAUUAGUGGGGUCUGCAUUGUCGGUCCUUGGCGUGAUAAGUUGUUUCUACGUCUUGGAUUUUUGGCGCUGUACACCUGCUUCUAACCGUCUCAUUGACAACGAUGGUGUUCCGGUCGCCGCCGAUUUUUCGGU